CAGCCGCCGCGGUAAUACAGAGGGUGCGAGCGUUAAUCGGAUUUACUGGGCGUAAAGCGUGCGUAGGCGGUGAGUUAAGUCUGCUGUGAAAUCCCCGGGCUCAACCUGGGAAUGGCAGUGGAUACUGGCUCGCUAGAGUGUGUCAGAGGAUGGUGGAAUUCCCGGUGUAGCGGUGAAAUGCGUAGAGAUCGGGAGGAACAUCAGUGGCGAAGGCGGCCAUCUGGGACAACACUGACGCUGAGGCACGAAAGCGUGGGGAGCAAACAGGAUUAGAUACCCCUGUAGUCCCUGUCUCUUAUAC
rnacentral:rRNA from 1 species